rnacentral:rRNA from 1 species
AUUGAACGCUGGCGGCAGGCCUAACACAUGCAAGUCGAACGAGUGGCGGACGGGUGAGUAAUGUCGGGGAAACUGCCUGAGGGAGGGGGAUAACCUCUGGACACGGUAUAAUAUACCGCAUUCCAUCGUGUGUCCCAAGAUGGGUUGAGCUAGUAGGUGGGGUAAAGGCUAACCUAGGCGACGCUCCCUAGCUUGUCUGAGAGGAUGACCAGCCACACUGGAACUGAGACACGGUCCAGACUCCUACGGGAGGCAGCAGGGGGGAAUAUUGCACAAUGGGCGCAAGCCUGAUGCAGCCAUGCCGCGUGUAUGAAGAAGGCCUUCGGGUUGUAAAGUACUUUCAGCGGGGAGGCGUUACCCGCAGAAGAAGCACCGGCUAACUCCGUGCCAGCCGCCGCGGUAAUUC